rnacentral:lncRNA from 1 species
UUGGGGUAAGAACUCUCUCUACUUCAAUCAAUAAAUUACAAGCCCUAAUAUGCUUAAAGAAGUAAUGGAAUACUUUGAAGACUAAAUUGAUGAAAAUAUCAAAAUUUUAUCAGAAAGGUCAAAUCUAAAACCUAUCACUACAUUAGAAGACAAAUUCCAAGAUCGAAAUGCUUCAUAAAAUAUUAAAUUGAGCACUUUGAGGUCUAGAUUGAUGAGCAGAUUCAAAUUUUAUCGGAAAUCUCAGUCAACU